rnacentral:rRNA from 1 species
GACAGAGGUGCCGAGCGUUAGGCGGAAUCACUGGGCUUAAAGCGUCUGUAGGUGGCUUUUCAAGUCCGCCGUCAAAUCCCAGGGCUCAACCUUGGACAGGCGGUGGAAACUACCAAGCUAGAGUACGGUAGGGGCAGAGGGAAUUUCCGGUGGAGCGGUGAAAUGCAUUGAGAUCGGAAAGAACACCAACGGCGAAAGCACUCUGCUGGGCCGACACUGACACUGAGGAGCGAAAGCGUGGGGAGCGAACAGG